rnacentral:rRNA from 1 species
UUGACCUCGGAUCAGGUAGGAAUACCCGCUGAACUUAAGCAUAUCAAUAAGCGGAGGAAAAGAAACCAACAGGGAUUGCCCUAGUAACGGCGAGUGAAGCGGCAACAGCUCAAAUUUGAAAUCUGGCCUCGGCCCGAGUUGUAAUUUGCAGAGGAUGUUUCUGGCGCGGUGCCUUCCGAGUUCCCUGGAACGGGACGCCACAGAGGGUGAGAGCCCCGUAUGGUUGGACACCAAGCCUGUGUGAAACUCCUUCGACGAGUCGAGUAGUUUGGGAAUGCUGCUCAAAAUGGGAGGUAAAUCUCUUCUAAAGCUAAAUACCGGCCAGAGACCGAUAGCGCACAAGUAGAGUGAUCGAAAGAUGAAAAGCACCUUGAAAAGGGGGUUAAACAGUACGUGAAAUUGUUGAAAGGGAAGCGCUUGUGACCAGACUUGCGCCGGGCGGUUCAUCCGGGGUUCUCCCCGGUGCACUCCGCCCGGGUCAGGCCAGCAUCGGUUCUCGUUGGGGGAUAAGAACGGCAGGAACGUGGCCCUCCCUCUGGGAGGGUGUUAUAGCCUGUCGUACGAUACCCUGAUGGGGACCGAGGUUCGCGCUCCGCAAGGAUGCUGGCGUAAUGGUCAUCAGCGACCCGUCUUGAAACACGGACCAAGGAGUCGUCCAUUAGAGCGAGCGUUUGGGUGUCAAACCCGCACGCGUAAUGAAAGUGAAAUUAGGUGAGAGCUUCGGCGCAUCAUCGACCGAUCCUGAUGUUCUCGGAUGGAUUUGAGUAAGAGUUUUAACGGACGGACCCGAAAGACAGUGAACUAUGCUUGUAUAGGGUGAAGCCAGAGGAAACUCUGGUGGAGGCUCGCAGCGGUUCUGACGUGCAAAUCGAUCGUCAAAUAUGAGCAUGGGGGCGAAAGACUAAUCGAA